CCUACGGGAGGCAGCAGUGGGGAAUAUUGCACAAUGGGCGAAAGCCUGAUGCAGCGACGCCGCGUGAACGAUGAAGGCUUUCGGUAUGUAAAGCUCUAUCCGCAAGGAAGAUAAUGACGGUACCUGAGUCAGAAGCCCCGGCUAACUACGUGCCAGCAGCCGCGGUAAUACGUCGGGGGCUAGCGUUAUCCGGAUUUACUGGGGGUAAAGGGUGCGUAGAUGGUUUGUUAAGUCAGAGGUAAAAGUCUGGGGCUAACCCGCGGUCAGCAUUUGAAAAUGGGGAACCUGAGUGGCGGAGAGGAGAGUGGAAUUCCUAGUGUAGCGGUGAAAUGCGUAGAUAUUAGGAGGAACACCAGUUGCGAAGGCGGCUCUCUGGACGGUAACUGACGCUGAGGCACGAAAGCGUGGGGAGCAAACAGGAUUAGAUACCCCUGUAGUC
rnacentral:rRNA from 1 species